rnacentral:rRNA from 1 species
AUUGAACGCUAGCGGCAGGCCUAACACAUGCAAGUCGAGCGGAUGAAGGGAGCUUGCUCCUGGAUUCAGCGGCGGACGGGUGAGUAAUGCCUAGGAAUCUGCCUGGUAGUGGGGGAUAACGUCCGGAAACGGGCGCUAAUACCGCAUACGUCCUGAGGGAGAAAGUGGGGGAUCUUCGGACCUCACGCUAUCAGAUGAGCCUAGGUCGGAUUAGCUAGUUGGUGGGGUAAAGGCCUACCAAGGCGACGAUCCGUAACUGGUCUGAGAGGAUGAUCAGUCACACUGGAACUGAGACACGGUCCAGACUCCUACGGGAGGAAGCAGUGGGGAAUAUUGGACAAUGGGCGAAAGCCUGAUCCAGCCAUGCCGCGUGUGUGAAGAAGGUCUUCGGAUUGUAAAGCACUUUAAGUUGGGAGGAAGGGCAGUAAGUUAAUACCUUGCUGUUUUGACGUUACCAACAGAAUAAGCACCGGCUAACUUCGUG